rnacentral:lncRNA from 1 species
AGGACUGGCUGACUGCUGUGCUGGCUAGGAGAGGGAGGAGAGUCCCCUUUUUCUUUUCCUUUCUCAGCACACAGCCCAGCUUUGGUAGGCACCAACAGGUGACUUGCAGGAGCCCCUGAAAGGUCUGAAUCGUGUCACUUCCAGAGACUCUCAGUGAGACUUGCGGUCCCUUAAGGCCCUGUUAAAAAUCUCUCCCUAAAUGUCUAUUUCUUUUCUCCUAGGGGUGGUGGCAGGCUGCUGAUCUCUUUAGCCCAGGUCCUUUGGUCAGUAAGGCGCUUGCCUUCCCCCAGGGAUGAAUUCCUGUCAACAAGGUGGUUCAUUGACAUUCUGCUGUGAAGAUGGAAGAAAUCUGCCUGUAGCAACACAGCAAUGGCAAGGAAAGUCACCAUAUCAGCACAAAUCUGAACAUGUGCUGAAACACUCUCCCAAACUGGAGCUGAAAUCAGUGACCCUGCAGUUUUCCUGUGCUUUGGACACUCACUGCCAUCCUAUUGGAGCAUGCCAUCCUAA